UCCCAGACCCCACCCGGGGAGAGAAAGCGGGGUCCUCCUGGGCCUGGCCCCCACCCCUAGGGAGUCAGAGGGUCUUGUGGGGCUGGGGCCACGUGCUCCUCUUCCCCGAAGCCUUCGCCCCGCCCCCCCAGCCGCCCGGACCGCCCCCACCCCCCUCCACCGCGGGGCCUGCGGGAGCCCGGAGCACCUUGACGAGUGAAGGUCGGAUCGAAGUUUCUGUCUGUGGCGCCGGCCUGGGGCCUCGUCUGGGCUGAGCAGGAUUCUCCCAGGCGUGCCCACACAAUGCGGAAGGAGUGUUCAAAGGACCUGAAUAAACAGGCGAGCCUCACCUCUUUUGGACCAGAGGAACGUCCCCUUCCCCUUGUUGAGCCGGCUAUGGAGAGGCCACUGUCCCUGGAGGAUGGCACUGGAGCCCUGGACCAGGCUCCUGUGUAUGGACACUGGGAAGCUGGGCAGGCAGCCCCUGCCCAGGGAAGUCUGCUGGGCCAGCGCUACCCAGGAGGCCCCAGGACUCUGAUGGUCACUUGAGACCUUGCUCCUUGCUUGGCCAAACACCAUAUUCACUGCGUAAUAAAUGGCCCAGGCCCACAGGGCAUGUUGUUUUGGGCAGA